rnacentral:rRNA from 1 species
GAUGAACGCUGGCGGCGUGCCUAAUACAUGCCAGUCGAGCGAACGGACGAGAAGCUUGCUUCUCUGAUGUUAGCGGCGGACGGGUGAGUAACACGUGGAUAACCUACCUAUAAGACUGGGAUAACUUCGGGAAACCGGAGCUAAUACCGGAUGAUAUUUUGAACCGCAUGGUUCAAAAGUGAAAGACGGUCUUGCUGUCACUUAUAGAUGGAUCCGCGCUGCAUUAGCUAGUUGGUAAGGUAACGGCUUACCAAGGCAACGAUGCAUAGCCGACCUGAGAGGGUGAUCGGCCACACUGGAACUGAGACACGGUCCAGACUCCUACGGGAGGCAGCAGUAGGGAAUCUUCCGCAAUGGGCGAUAGCCUGACGGAGCAACGCCGCGUGAGUGAUGAAGGUCUUCGGAUCGUAAAACUCUGUUAUUAGGGAAGAACAUAUGUGUAAGUAACUGUGCACAUCUUGACGGUACCUAAUCAGAAAGCCACGGCUAACUACGUG